CCUACGGGAGGCAGCAGUGGGGAAUUUUGGACAAUGGGCGAAAGCCUGAUCCAGCAAUGCCGCGUGAGUGAAGAAGGCCUUCGGGUUGUAAAGCUCUUUUGUCAGGGAAGAAACGGUGAGAGCUAAUAUCUCUUGCUAAUGACGGUACCUGAAGAAUAAGCACCGGCUAACUACGUGCCAGCAGCCGCGGUAAUACGUAGGGUGCAAGCGUUAAUCGGAAUUACUGGGCGUAAAGCGUGCGCAGGCGGUUUUGUAAGUCUGAUGUGAAAUCCCCGGGCUCAACCUGGGAAUUGCAUUGGAGACUGCAAGGCUAGAAUCUGGCAGAGGGGGGUAGAAUUCCACGUGUAGCAGUGAAAUGCGUAGAUAUGUGGAGGAACACCGAUGGCGAAGGCAGCCCCCUGGGUCAAGAUUGACGCUCAUGCACGAAAGCGUGGGGAGCAAACAGGAUUAGAUACCCUGGUAGUCCACGCCCUAAACGAUGUCUACUAGUUGUCGGGUCUUAAUUGACUUGGUAACGCAGCUAACGCGUGAAGUAGACCGCCUGGGGAGUACGGUCGCAAGNUUAAAACUCAAAGGAUUGACGGCUGAAGACGNGCGAGGAGAGAGAGGGAGGNG
rnacentral:rRNA from 1 species